UGCAGCUGAACCUUGAACCUCAGGCUGCUGAAUUCUUUUUGGUAAAAUCCCCCUCCAGUCUGCUUUCACAGCUGGCGUUGAGUGCCUGCGCCUUUUCCAGGUGCACCAUGCAAGCUGUUGGUGGAUAUACCAUUCUGGUGCCUGGAGGUUGGUGGCCCUCUUCUCACAGCUACACUAGGCAGUGCCCCAGCGGAGACUCGGUGUGAGGCUCCAACCCCACAUUUCCCUUCUGCACUCCCCAAGCAGAGGUUCUCCAUGAGGGCCCUGGCUCUGCAGCAAACUUCUGCCUGGACAUCCAGGCAUUUCCAUACAUCCUCUGAAAUCUAGGUGGAGGUUCCCAAACCUCAAUUAUUGACUUAUGUGCACCCCCAGGCUCAAUACCAC
rnacentral:lncRNA from 10 species